AUGGCCCUAAAGGUGUUCAAUUGGCUGAAUCGGAAGAUGCAUUCCAAUGCGGAGUACUGCACCAUUGAUGAUAAUAAGGCCAUGGAGAAGGAAGACUCUGUGCACGGGAGUGUGGCUGAGCAAGACACUGAAGCCCUGCUGCUCCGUGAUGUGCUUCUUAAUGGCAUACUUGCGAUUGGCACGCUUGGCCACAACGUGAACUCCCUUUGCCCUGAGGCCCGCCAUGAACAAGAUGAGUUCAUCGUCAUGGAUGAAGAAAAGGUGGACCAAGAAAAGUGCGAAGAGGAAAAGUGUGAGGACAAAGAAGAGGCAUUCGCUACAGCACCAAGUGCACCAGAACCUGCUACCGAACCUGCCAAGAUGCAUUCAUCGUCGAUGAAAGAAUACAACUUCACGUGUUCUGUAAAGGAAGAAAUCCUGAUGUGUGAAGUUGAAGUGGAGGAUGUCGCUAAAAUCCAGGAACAACCACUUCUGAUGGUAGAGAAGGUGGAAAAAGUGAGAACUACACUUGCUGAUCUAUUUGCAGCCGAAGCAUUCUCACCAAGCGAUACAGGGAAGGAGAGUCACCAGAAGACUGUCAUUAUUGCUGGGGCAUCCACUUCAAAACCUACAUUGUGCAUGGAAAAGACACAUAAAAAGAAGCCAAUAAAGCCAAUGCCAGAUCCUCUGAAGGCUACGAGAAAAUUAAGUCGAGCCGUGAAGAAGAUGCUGGGGAAGAAGAUCCACCCAGAGCAGCUCAGUGGACGUUGUAAUGCAGAGGAACCUCCUCUGCUUGGUGCGUAG
rnacentral:rRNA from 1 species